UACAGAGGUGGCAAGCGUUGUUCGGAAUUACUGGGCGUAAAGGGCGCGUAGGCGGUCAGGUCAGUCCCGUGUGAAAUCCCUCGGCUCAACUGAGGAACUGCACGGGAAACUACCUGGCUUGAGUUCGGGAGAGGGAAGCGGAAUUCCGGGUGUAGCGGUGAAAUGCGUAGAUAUCCGGAGGAACACCGGUGGCGAAGGCGGCUUCCUGGACCGACACUGACGCUGAGGCGCGAAGGCUAGGGGAGCAAACGGG
rnacentral:rRNA from 1 species